rnacentral:misc_RNA from 1 species
GUCGGUUCGCAAUCAUGACGCACUACUCCCGAAAGCCGCAGGUGUCAUCGAAGAGCGCCAAGGCGAAGGUUAGCGAUCUCCGCUGCCACUACAAGAACACCUUCGAGACCGCAAAUGUGAUCAACGGCAUGCCGCUUCGCAAGGCUCAGCAGCUGUACCGUCAGGUGCUCGCCAAGACCCGCUGCAUCCCGUUCAAGCGCUACAACGGCAAGAUCGGCCGCACCGCUCAGGCGAAGGAGUGGGGCCAGACCAAGGGCCGCUGGCCGCGCAAGUCCGUCGUGGCGAUGAUGUCGCUGCUCAAGAACGCCGAGGCCAACGCCAUCGAGAAGGGUCUUGACCCCAACCAGAUGGUCAUCAAGCACGUCCAGGUGGACCAGGCUGCCCGCAUGCGCCGCCGCACGUACCGUGCCCACGGUCGCAUCACGCCGUACAUGUGCAGCCCCUGCCACGUGCAGCUGUUCAUGUCGGAGAAGAAGGAGCGCGUCCCGACCCCGAAGAGCGCCCCCAAGAAGUGAGCGCUGCACGCAUGAUUUCACAGGCCAACAUUCUGUUCUGAUUUUGGUUUUAUGGGAUCGAAAAAAAGAACAACGUUAAGGAUGACAGACGGAGUUGCGCUGCUGGUGUAGGUCUAUUUUCUUAUGGGGCGAUGCACCGAGAAAGCUGAGCGUCUUCAUCUCACACGCUGAAGAGCAAGAAAGCCUGAUCGUCCGCGCGCUGCUCCUGUUUUACAAUGAACUCGUGAGUUAGCAGAUUUACCUUUUCGGCUGUCGUCCCUCUUCACUCCCCAGAGUGCUGCUCAACUUCCGCAUGUCUUCUUUUUUUUUUUUUCGUCUCUUGACACGGCAUCUUUACGCUUCAAAUUGCGUUUCUGGUGACAUUCACUGCUUCCCACAAAG